ACCCUCUCACCCCCAACCCUCUCACCCCCCUUGUUAACUUGACUCGAGUCUCUCUGCCUCAUCUUUGGAGUAUGGAGUCACUCUGAACCCACACUGUUCUGCGGGAAGGCCUGCCGGUUUGGACUUGAUGGAGUACAGCAGGAGUGACUUUACGUAGCAGGUGAGGAGAGUUAAGGUAGCAGGUUAGAAGAGUUAAGGUAGCAGGUUAGGAGAGUUAAGGUAGCAGGUUAGGAGAGUUAAGGUAGCAGGUUAGGAGAGUUAAGGUAGCAGGUUAGGAGAGUUAAGGUAGCAGGUUAGGAGAGUUAAGGUAGCAGGUUAGGAGAGUUAAGGUAGCAGGUUAGGAGAGUUAAGGUAGCAGGUUAGGAGAGUUAAGGUAGCAGGUUAGGAGAGUUAAGGUAGCAGGUUAGGAGAGUUAAGGUAGCAGGUUAGGAGAGUUAAGGUAGCAGGUGAGGAGAGUUAAGGUAGCAGGUGAGGAGAGUUAAGGUAGCAGGUGAGGAGAGUUAAGGUAGCAGGUGAGGAGAGUUAAGGUAGCAGGUGAGGAGAGUUAAGGUAGCAGGUGAGGAGAGUUAAGGUAGCAGGUGAGGAGAGUUAAGGUAGCAGGUGAGGAGAGUUAAGGUAGCAGGUGAGGAGAGUUAAGGUAGCAGGUGAGGAGAGUUAAGGUAGCAGGUGAGGAGAGUUAAGGUAGCAGGUGAGGAGAGUUAAGGUAGCAGGUGAGGAGAGUUAAGGUAGCAGGUGAGGAGAGUUAAGGUAGCAGGUGAGGAGAGUUAAGGUAGCAGGUGAGGAGAGUUAAGGUAGCAGGUUAGGAGAGUUAAGGUAGCAGGUUAGAAGAGUUAAGGUAGCAGGUUAGGAGAGUUAAGGUAGCAGGUUAGGAGAGUUAAGGUAGCAGGUUAGGAGAGUUAAGGUAGCAGGUUAGAAGAGUUAAGGUAGCAGGUUAGGAGAGUUAAGGUAGCAGGUUAGGAGAGUUAAGGUAGCAG